AUUAGGGGCAUGAAAACAUUUUUGUUCCCCAAGGGGGGUUAUGACAGAAAAUAAUUGAGAACCACUGCACAAAGCCUACAUGGUAUUUUUGUUGGCCAUAUAACUCAUAUCCAUAUACAUUUUUACAGUAUGCUAAUAGAAAUCUUAGCUUUUUCUUGUCUUAGUUUUGUGGCGAUCUUCUUUAUUUGUUCUGUGAGUUUUUUUUUUUUAUUGCAUUUUUCUUUACUUUAAUUGUGAAGACCAGACUUUUAUUUUGAAUAACUGGGUCCAAGCGGCACUUCUACUGUUUUACAGAGCAACAAUCCUAACAGGCCACAGCCCCUCACGUAGAACUUGAUAGGAGAUUAAUGCUUAAUUUCUUCAUUGCAACUGAAAGUCUUUAAUUAAUCUGUUACCCAAGUUGUUAACACAAAAUGCCAAGGCACGUAAUGGACCAAAAAAAAACAUCUUGUUGGAGGUUUAACCACAGAUCCAUGUUAGUCGUUAGCUCUUACUCAGCAGUAACUUCACUUUUUAUCUUCUCUAGUGUUAUGGGACCAUGCGUUAUCUUUUACGGACAGACUAUAUAGAACCGUUUUGUACGGACUACACAGAAUCAAACAGAACUUGCAUGAUUUGAAAUUUUUAUUUUCUCCCCAAUUACUGUCAUUUUUACUUCCAAACCUGAGAAACAACGGAAUGUUUGAAAUGUACUACAUCUAAGCCCUUAUAAUAAUUGAACAACUUAUGACAAAUGGUUUUAGCACCAGGCACUGUUUUUCCUGCAAAACUGAGGUAUUCGUUUUUUGGUUGUUUUUUUUUAGCUUAGAGUAACACAAAAAUAUUGUAUACGGUAGGUAGAAAAAGGACAUCACCCACUAUGCCUGAGUGUUUCCUUCUGUGUGCACUUCACAGUGUGUGUUUAUCAAAGAGGUAUUCUCCCAGAGAGCCAUGGGUAUCAGACGCAGUGAUGGAAGUCAGGCUUUUGUUGUAAUCACCAAGCUUCUUGAUGGUGUCAUAGCUAUCCUCCAGAAAGUUCUGCUCCAGAAAGUCACA